UUGCACGCUGGCGGCAGGCCUCACCCCUGCCAGUCGAGCGGAUGAAGGGAGCUUGCUCCUGGAUUCAGCGGCGGACGGGUGAGUAAUGCCUAGGAAUCUGCCUGGUAGUGGGGGAUAACGUCCGGAAACGGGCGCUAAUACCGCAUACGUCCUGAGGGAGAAAGUGGGGGAUCUUCGGACCUCACGCUAUCAGAUGAGCCUAGGUCGGAUUAGCUAGUUGGUGGGGUAAAGGCCUACCAAGGCGACGAUCCGUAACUGGUCUGAGAGGAUGAUCAGUCACACUGGAACUGAGACACGGUCCAGCCUCCUACGGGAGGCAGCAGUGGGGAAUAUUAGACAAUGGGCGAAAGCCUGAUCCAGCCAUGCCGCGUGUGUGAAGAAGGUCUUCGGAUUGUAAAGCACUUUAAGUUGGGAGGAAGGGCAGUAAGUUAAUACCUUGCUGUUUUGACGGUACCAACAGAAUAAGCACCGGCUAACUUCGUG
rnacentral:rRNA from 1 species